rnacentral:rRNA from 1 species
UAGAAGACAUCUGAAAGAGAUUAAAGAUUUAUCGGUGAUGGAUGGGGAUGCGUCUGAUUAGCUUGUUGGCGGGGUAACGGCCCACCAAGGCGACGAUCAGUAGGGGUUCUGAGAGGAAGGUCCCCCACAUUGGAACUGAGACACGGUCCAAACUCCUACGGGAGGCAGCAGUGAGGAAUAUUGGUCAAUGGACGAGAGUCUGAACCAGCCAAGUAGCGUGCAGGAUGACGGCCCUAUGGGUUGUAAACUGCUUUUAUAAGGGAAUAAAGUGAGAGUCGUGACUCUUUUUGCAUGUACCUUAUGAAUAAGGACCGGCUAAUUCCGUGCCAGCAGCCGCGGUAAUACGGAAGGUCCGGGCGUUAUCCGGAUUUAUUGGGUUUAAAGGGAGCGUAGGCCGGAGAUUAAGCGUGUUGUGAAAUGUAGACGCUCAACGUCUGCACUGCAGCGCGAACUGGUUUCCUUGAGUACGCACAAAGUGGGCGGAAUUCGUGGUGUAGCGGUGAAAUGCUUAGAUAUCACGAAGAACUCCGAUUGCGAAGGCAGCUCACUGGAGCGCAACUGACGCUGAAGCUCGAAAGUGCGGGUAUCGAACAGGAUUAGAUACCCUGGUAGUCCGCACGGUAAACGAUGGAUGCCCGCUGUUGGUCUGAAUAGGUCCGCGGCCAAGCGAAAGCAUUAAGCAUCC